CCUACGGGGGGCUGCAGUGGGGAAUAUUGGACAAUGGGGGCAACCCUGAUCCAGCCAUGCCGCGUGUGUGAAGAAGGCCCUCGGGUUGUAAAGCACUUUCAGUGAGGAAGAACGCCUGGUGGUUAAUACCCAUCAGGAAAGACAUCACUCACAGAAGAAGCACCGGCUAACUCCGUGCCAGCAGCCGCGGUAAUACGGAGGGUGCGAGCGUUAAUCGGAAUUACUGGGCGUAAAGCGCGCGUAGGUGGCUUGAUAAGCCGGUUGUGAAAGCCCCGGGCUCAACCUGGGAACGGCAUCCGGAACUGUCAAGCUAGAGUGCAGGAGAGGAAGGUAGAAUUCCCGGUGUAGCGGUGAAAUGCGUAGAGAUCGGGAGGAAUACCAGCGGCGAAGGCGGCCUUCUGGACUGACACUGACACUGAGGUGCGAAAGCGUGGGUAGCAAACAGGAUUAGAUACCCGAGUAGUC
rnacentral:rRNA from 1 species